rnacentral:rRNA from 1 species
CCAAUAGCGUAUAUUAAAGUUGCUGCAGUUAAAAAGCUCGUAGUUGAAUUUCGGGACCAAUAUGUCGGUCGUGCCUCGGUACGUACUGGCGUUAUUGGUUUCUCCCUUCUGACGAACCACGAUGUCAUUAAUUUGGUGUCAUGGGGAAUCAGGACUGUUACUUUGAAAAAAUUAGAGUGUUUAAAGCAGGCUCCCGCUUGAAUACAUUAGCAUGGAAUAAUGAAAUAGGACGUUUGAUUCCAUUUUGUUGGUUUCUAGGAUCGACGUAAUGAUUAAUAGGGAUAGUUGGGGGCAUUAGUAUUCAAUUGUCAGAGGUGAAAUUCUUGGAUUUAUUGAAGACUAACUACUGCGAAAGCAUUUGCCAAGGAUGUUUUCAUUAAUCAAGAACGAAAGUUAGGGGAUCGAAGACGAUCAGAUACCGUCGUAGUCUUAACCAUAAACUAUGCCGACUAGGGAUCGGAUGAUGUUAAUUUUUUAAUGACUCAUUCGGCGCCUUACG